rnacentral:sRNA from 1 species
CGUAAAAGUUGGGUGGCUGCGACCAGAGGCGCAUCUGAGGCAGAGGGCAGUGUUUGAAGGCAGAGAGAGACGCAGCCUGGCGGGGGCCUCAGCUGGGAGCAGGGAAGCAAGAUUUGCAGGGCUCUUGGGGGCCUGAGGAAGCCGUGCAGAGGGUCCCUGGCUCCUGGCCCAGCUGUGGCCCCAAGUCCUGCCCUGUCUCCCGAGACUGUUCCUCCCCUAGAGCUGCCAGCCAAGAUCCUGACUGCAGACAAUCAGACGUACAUGGCUGUCCAGGGCAGCACUGCCUACCUUCUGUGCAAGGCCUUCGGAGCACCUGUGCCCAGUGUUCAGUGGCUGGACGAGGAUGGGACAACAGUGCUUCAGGACGAACGCUUCUUCCCCUAUGCCAAUGGGACCCUGGGCAUUCGAGACCUCCAGGCCAAUGACACUGGACGCUACUUCUGCCUGGCUGCCAAUGACCAAAACAAUGUGACCAUCGUGGCUAACCUGAAGGUUAAAGAUGCAACUCAGAUCACUCAGGGGCCCCGCAGCGCAAUCGAGAAGAAAGGUUC